UACGAAGGGGGCUAGCGUUGCUCGGAAUCACUGGGCGUAAAGGGCGCGUAGGCGGCCGUUUAAGUCGGGGGGGAAAGCCUGUGGCUCAACCACAGAAUUGCCUUCGAUACUGGACGGCUUGAGUCCGGAAGAGGUCAGUGGAACUGCGAGUGUAGAGGUGAAAUUCGUAGAUAUUCGCAAGAACACCAGUGGCGAAGGCGGCUGACUGGUCCGGAACUGACGCUGGGGCGCGAAAGCCAGGGGAGCAAACGGG
rnacentral:rRNA from 1 species